rnacentral:misc_RNA from 1 species
AUCUCUGCUGUGAUGGGCCUGGUGAGUAUACUAAAAGCAGGAUAUAAGGACUUUUGUAGUGGAUUACAUUUAUCUUGUGCUUUCCAAGUUUGCCAUGCCAUUUGGUUAAGGUAGAAGAGAUAUAUUUGUUUGCUUGUUUAUAUACUACUGAGAUUAAAAAUUAGCAUUUCUCUCCAAUUUGACUUUUAUAGCCUUGCUAAUAUUUAUAACUAUGACUGUGAGCUUCUCAAUUGAUUCUUCACCAUGAUUAUCCAUGUAUCUACCUUCCUGCUGGAGUCUAUUAAUUAAUGAUGUAGAGUUUCGCUCCUUUAUUGUGUAAAUUAAGUUAGAUUUUGUAUAAAUGUGAGAUUUAAAAUUUGGGUAUUGUUAUUUCGGUUUGAAUUAGUACUUUCUUCCUGGCCAUUAUUUUCAGGAGUUAUGAUGCUUUUCCAAAAGAGUCAUGGUGAGAGCUUAUAACAGAAUUUCCUAUUUUAAGAAGUUUUUGGUUCUGCACCUCUCUGAACUCGGCACUUCUACUUGUUCAAAGCAACUUACUGUAGUACAUUGCAUUCAAGGAAAUUUUAUGAAGUGUCAAAAGAUUGUUGUUGGAUCAAAUUAUGAUUUAGAACAUUGGUUUAAUUUUUUUAUAACAUCAUUAUGGUGAACAAAUUUGAUUUUUAAACAAGUCUAUGAUGGAUGGAAAGAAAUCUCUUCAGUUUGUAUUUUGCUAGUUGGUGCUUGUGUUUGUUUUGUGCCAAUCCAAAAAGUGAAUAGUGUUGAUUCCAAAUUUCAAAUUUAUAUUUGUUCUCUCUUUGCUGGAUUUUGUCAUUUCAGGUAGAUUAUGAUGAGGCCAUCUUCUUAUGGCGUGUA